UUCUUUUGAGUUUGAUUAUAGGAAAAGAGAUCUCCUCAGAGAGCUCAGCUGGGUAUAUCCUGCUGUUGCCUUAGUCUCUUUCAUGGAAGGAGAGAAGUGAGGAAGACGAGCACACCAUGGGAUUGGUAAUUGUUUGUAGUUCUGGCAAAAUCCUCAAAUGAUAUUUAUUCUGUGACAAUCACUUCCAACUGGAGCCUUCAGUUCUGCAGCUGAUGAAAGAUGGACAACAGGCAAAUGCUUAGACUGCACACAUUUGAAUCCUUUGAAGUCCAAUCCCCCCGUCUCUGUUAUGUACUGCAGAGAUCCCCGCAUGCCUUCAGUCAGAGGGAACAGAUAAAGAGCUUAGGACCUGGUUGUAACUGCAAGGAGUGGAUGCAAGUACAAUUGAAAAGAUUGUUGAAGAGGGUUAUACUCUUGCUGAUAUUCUUAGCAACAUCACUAAGGAAGACCUAAAGCACCUUCAAAUAUA